GAUGUACUCCCUCUGUCCGGAAAUACUUGUCGGAGAAUUGGAUGUAUCUAGACAUAUUUUAGUUCUAGAUACAUCCAUUUUUCCAUUUGUGCGACAAGUAAUUCUGGACGGAGAGAGUAUUCG
rfam:Triticum aestivum genome assembly, contig: Triticum_aestivum_CS42_TGACv1_scaffold_271882_3DS